GGCACACCCUGCCAUGAUGGCAUUGGCCUCCAAGUGUUGCUGAAGCUAAUGGCAUUAGGAGAUGCUUUGAGGCAGCAGCCCAGUGACAGCAGGAACUUCCCAGAUGGCGAGGUGGCCUUCUUUUGCACCUGAUGCAGACUGGCAUCCCCCGAUGUCUGAGAGAUAAGUCGAGGGCUAUGAACCACAGAGGGGAGGAAAGGGGGUUGCUGGGUUGGGAUUUGCUGGGAGAGGUUUUUGAGUCAGCUUUGGGGCUGAGGCUAUCUAAGAAGUGUCCCCUUAGGCCACAUAAAGGGAAAGUGUCGCUUUUGAUCCGAGUGCUGAGGUGUGCAGGGCAGUGCAGUCCCGGUGUGUAUUGUGUCACUUGUCUAAUAUGCCUUAUGUGUUGUUUAUAUAUCUCAUGUCACACAUCUUGUACGUUAGCCCAUUGAGUGGCCUGACAGAAACCCUGGCGUCAUUCUUAGCAUCUCUGAUCCCUGCAUUCCUUGGUCUGGCGCCAAUGCCAUAGGUCUUUUGACUCGGGAGCUCAGACAGGCAUUGGAAUUUUAUUUUUCUUUAGGAACAUCCGGUCUGAUGUCUUUGCAGGUCUUGUUCUGAGCUGUACAUACUGCUGUGCAUUGCAAGGAUCCAUUAUGGCAGAUUAGGAAUUGUAGGAAUGUAAGGAUAGGUAGAGGAUUCUGACCGUAGGAUUCUCAGACAUCCAUCUUUGUAGUUCUUGGUGUAGACCAUUGUCUUAGCAGAUUCUUCCUCCAGGGUUCUCUGAGCCUCUACAGCUCGCCAUUGGUCUCACCCCAGUCGUCUAAUUUGCGUUCUCUCUGUCCUUGCAGUAAUUCCUCUUGCCCUGAGAUUUCUGUCCCUGUUGUGUCCCCAUUGUUUGUCAUGUCCUGUCCUGUGUCACGGGUGUCUGCACUAUUUGUGCCGGAGCUGCUCUGCCCUGCUGCGUAGCCUGGUGUAGUAGGACAAAUUCUGGGGGCUUGAAAUUUGUAGUAUGGGGUGUAGUUGGACUCUGGAUGGUAUUCCUAGGUUGACCCAAGGUGUCUGGAGCUGUGAAGUUGUCUUGCAGCCCUUUGACUUUUGUUCUAACUUUCUUUCAGAUGCAGAUGGAUAAAAUCCAUGGCACAGCACCCCAUCCCAGGAAGUAUAGCCAUAUAGCAGCAGUCAAGGAGGAGUGGGUAAGGUAAUUCACUGUGAUUAUGCCAAGUCCCUGUCACCAACAGCUGAUGGACCAGGUUUGCUGCUCUUGUGAGCCCUGUGGAGGUAUUGCAGGACCCUGUGAUGAAGCCUUGAAAUUAUCUAUUUAAAGGUCCCUUCUGGGUCGCCCUCAGGAAUGGCCAUGGAGUCGUAGUGAGGAGGAGCCAGGGUCCACUCAGGUUUCAGCAGUGUCACCUCACGUGUCUCCCCUUUACCUAGGCGUACCCUGCAAUGAUGGAAUCGGUCUCAAAGCACG